rnacentral:rRNA from 1 species
GACGAACGCUGGCGGCGCGCCUAACACAUGCAAGUCGAACGAGCAAAGAGGAGCUUGCUUCUCUGAGCGAGUGGCGAACGGGUGAGUAACGCGUGAGGAACCUGCCUCAAAGAGGGGGACAACAGUUGGAAACGACUGCUAAUACCGCAUAAGCCCACGGGUCGGCAUCGACCAGAGGGAAAAGGAGUGAUCCGCUUUGAGAUGGCCUCGCGUCCGAUUAGCUAGUUGGUGAGGUAACGGCCCACCAAGGCGACGAUCGGUAGCCGGACUGAGAGGUUGAACGGCCACAUUGGGACUGAGACACGGCCCAGACUCCUACGGGAGGCAGCAGUGGGGAAUAUUGCACAAUGGGGGAAACCCUGAUGCAGCGACGCCGCGUGGAGGAAGAAGGUCUUCGGAUUGUAAACUCCUGUUGUUGAGGAAGAUAAUGACGGUACUCAACAAGGAAGUGACGGCUAACUACGUGCCAGCAGCCGCGGUAAAACGUAGGUCACAAGCGUUGUCCGGAAUUACUGGGUGUAAAGGGAGCGCAGGCGGGAAGACAAGUUGGAAGUGAAAUCCAUGGGCUCAACCCAUGAACUGCUUUCAAAACUGUUUUUCUUGAGUAGUGCAGAGGUAGGCGGAAUUCCCGGUGUAGCGGUGG